rnacentral:snRNA from 1 species
GUGCCUACUUCUGAAGCACAUACCCUAAAAUUGUUGUGAUUCAGAGAAAAUUAGCCUGGCCCCUGGGCAAGUAUGGCAUGCAAAUUCGCUAUGUAUUUCAUAUUUUU